CAUCCAGCAUAGCACUAACAGUGUAACUGUCAGCUACGGUGACUACACCUUGCAGCAAUACACAGAGGACAGUUUGCCCUGUGCCUUGUACUUGCUCCCAGGAACAGUUCUGGAAGGUUCCACCAAGUAAGACAGGUACCUUUUGUGUUGUUUCUGGUCAUAAUCGGUCCCUGACUGGAGAAAUUGGAGAAGUAUUUAAAAUAUAAUUUAACAUAUAUUUUCCCUAGGUCCUGGCCUUCUCCUGUGGUCCAUAUGUGCCACCAUCUAUGUUACCAGCAGUGGGGAUUAGAAUGCAAAGUGGUAUAUGAAGUGCCAGCUCUUUGAAAGGAAUGUGAGAUUAAGAACCUGGAGAAAAUAUUUCCUCCUCGUGUUGGGCAUCUAAAAGGAAGAGGCUCCCUCAUUCACAUGUGCUCCUCCUCGCACAAACGCUUGCACACAGUGAGUACUCGGUUUACUGGGCUGCAGAUAAAAGGGAAGAAGUAAUUCCACCUCAUUCUAAGGAAACUAUAGAGUCUUUUAGUUCAAGAGAUCAAAGCUGCAUUAACUCUUCCAGUUACUGCCAUUUGCCAUUUACUAUCAUUUAGCGCUCUGGAAAAGCCUGCGGCCAGGUGGCCUCAAGCCAGCAGGCCCCUCACUGCAAAGUGAAGAAGCUGGUAGUGUCCUCAGAGCCAUGGUGGUAACAAAGCUCCUGGCCUGCUUUAUCAUCCUGUCAAGGGCUCACAGAGAUCCCCUGCUUCCUGAAAACGAGCAGCAAGGACCACGAUGUAAGUGCAUGCUUCAUAACAUACAAUGUCUCAUUUAAUUAUCAUGGAAAACCUCACAAGGUAGGUAUUAUCAUCAUUAUCAUAUACAUGAAAAAACUAAGGCACAAAGAACUAAAUAAUGUGCCCCAGUCCACACUGUAAAUGGCGGAGUUUGGUUUUAAACCCACAUCUAUAAAAUCCAAAUGACAUCAUUUUCUAUGAGAUGGUGUCUCUGUGUUUUUCUACACCAUGUAGACUCUUCUGGUGAAAAGUUGAGGUAACGUCCCAGUAUGUAAAUUCCAUUUGCCAUACUCUUCACAAAAAGUAAGAAAGUUUAUUGUUGCAAUUCGAUGGGCUGUUGUUGCCCAGAUACAGGCCAGAAUCUUCCAAAACUGACUAAAUGUUUGUAUUUAUUAAUGUAUUUCCAAAAUGUGACUUAGGCCACAACAUAAUGCCACAAAAGGGAUGUUCGCUGAAUGCCAAAAUUAUAAAAUACAUUAUUAUUUUACUGCUAUAAGAUCAGAGAACUAUGUCCCCAGCCCCAGGAUUCCUAGCAUACAAUCUAUACGCAAUGAAUACCAUGUUGAGUAUCUAAUAUUUUAAAGAAAAUACACAAAAAGCAUUAUGAAGAUGUUUACCAUCUACAAUUAGGCUCUGUAAAUAACUUGGCUGCUGGUAUUUAUCAAAAUACUUUAACUUGACCCUAAAAUUGUCACUAACAUGUUAAAAUUCCUCACUAGAAUCAAGCCUGUCUCAGUGACUUGUAACCUGUCUGAUUCACUUCCCAUCACCAGCAGAAUGAAGCAUAUUAAUUGUAGACCCAGGAUAAUUAUAUCUGUUAGCUGGGCCAUGCCCAGGGUUCUAUGAACUAUCCUGGUACAUGUAUAAGGUAUACUUUCAGAGGGAUAUACAUGAAACCAUUAAUAGUAGUUAUCCUGGGAUGUUUUCACUGCCAGUCACAAUUACUGGUUUCCUUCAUUUCUGCAUUGUAUUUGUCCUCUUUAUUUCUACAUUUUAACAAAAACCUAUGUGACUUCUGCAAUAAAAAUUUAGAUAUGUAAACUUCCAGGAAAAUAUCCUUUCAAAUAUACAUUAACACUUCUAAUUAAUAAUGGUUAAAACUCAAUUGUGCAUUUUCUAUGUGACAGGCAUGUUCUACGUAUUUUAUAUGCAAUAACUUACUUAAUCUUUCUAAUCACUCAGUGAGGUGGAAAGUAUUAUCCCCAUUUUACAAAUGAGAAAACUGAGCCACCGAAUGGCUGAAUAACUUGUGCAAGAUCAAACACACUAAGCAAGUUGAGAAGCCAGGGUUGAAAAGGACAGUCUCACUCCAUAGUGAGCCUUCUUAGCCAUUGCACCUUUUCUCCCCGUGGUGAACAGAUUUACAAUAACACAGCAAUGAAUAAGGUACUCAGAGUACAAUUUAAACAAAGGAAAAUGAUUACCAAAACAUCCAUGGACAAACACACACAUACACACACACCCCCAACCCAAAACAAUGAAAUGGUAAAGGCAUCAAAUUUUAGUGGUGACUGUUUUUCUGUGGUAUAGUCAGAAAAAGCUUCUUCAUAUUUCUGGUUUUCUAUAUUUUCCAAUAUUUAGUUAACAAUAGUAUAUCUUUUGUAUUUUUUUUAAUUCUUGAAAAAACAACAGAUCAAUAAUUAAGAACUAUAAUAUGGGAGGGUCCCAAAUUACACUCUCAAGAAAAUAUACAAAUUUUGGAGGCAAAACUUAUGAAGAGCUUCAAAUUUAAAUUGUAGAAGUCCAGCAUGCCUCCUAGAAAGUGAGCAGAAAGACUGUGGCUUCCACCACUUAAGAGUAUUAACUUCUUACAGUUGGGAUAAUGUCUCUUCCUCACUUUUAUUGGUGUGUGUCUUUUUUUAAAAAAAAAUUCUUUUUUUAACAUUUAUUCAUUUUUGAGAGACAGAGAGAGACAGAGCAUGAAC